rnacentral:rRNA from 1 species
GGCUGAACCAGCAACUUGGAGGAAUGUAUAUCGAAGUCGACUAAAAUUCUAGGUGGAUUAUUAUAAUGAGAUUCUCUAUCUAUAUGUCUUGACCAACACACGUGCCAGCAGUCGCGGCAAGACGUUAAAGACUAGUGUUAUUCAUGUUGAAUCGGUUUAAAGAGUACCAAGACUGUUAAUAAAGCCCAUAAAGGGGACAUAUUAACUAGAGUUUUAUGAAAAGGGGCUUUAAGGUACUGUUGAGUUUAGAGAUAAAAUACAAUGAUACCAUAUAAUGGCACGGGUAAAUGCUAAUGCAUCUCCUUAUGUUAUAACUGACGUCGUAGUACGAAGGCUAUUGUAACUAAGAGGAUUAGGAACCCUUGUAGUAUAGCAGAAAAUGAUGAAUGUCAUAGGUUGAAUAUAAAUAUUAUAUAUAUUAAUUUGGUCUAUAAAUGAAAGUGUAAGCAUUCCACCUCAAGAGUAAUUUGGCAACAUUGGAAUUGAAAUCAUUAGACCGUUUUUGAAACCAGUAGUGAAGUAUGUUGUUUAAUUAGACGACCCGCAAAAAACCUUACCACAAUUUGAAUAAUAUAUAUUUACGUGCGUUGCACGGCUGUCUUCAGUUAAUGUCGUGAGAUUAUGGUUAAAUUCAUAAAUUAACGAAAACCCUUACUUUAUUUAUAGAUAAAGUUGUUCACCGAUAUAUUGGAUAUUGAUAAGAGGGA